UUUCCGUAGGUGAACCUGCGGAAGGAUCAUUACAGAGUUCAUGCCCUCACGGGUAGAUCUCCCACCCUUGAAUAUUUAUUCCUUAGUUGCUUUGGCAGGCCGUGGAAACACCAUGGGCUCCGGCUUAUGCGUGCCUGCCAGAGGAAACAAACUCGGUUUUUAGUGAUGGCUGAGUACUAUAUAAUAGUUAAAACUUUCAACAACGGAUCUCUUGGUUCUG
rnacentral:misc_RNA from 1 species